rnacentral:misc_RNA from 1 species
GAAAUGCGAUAAGUAAUGUGAAUUGGCAGAAUUCAGUGAAUCAUCGAAUCUUUGAACGCACAUUGCGCCCGCCAGUAUUCUGGCGGGCAUGCCUGUCCGAGCGUCAUUUCAACCAUCAAGCCCCCGGGCUUGUGUUGGGGACCUGCGGCUGCCCGCAGGCCCUGAAAACCAGUGGCGGGCUCGCUGUCACACCGAGCGUAGUAGCAAUCACCUCGCUCAGGGCGUGCUGCGGGUUCCGGCCGUUAAACAGCCUUACAAAACCCAAGGUUGACCUCGGAUCAGGUAGGAAGACCCGCUGAACUUAAGC